GAUGAACGCUGGCGGCGUGCCUAAUACAUGCAAGUCGAGCGAACAGAUAAGGAGCUUGCUCCUUUGACGUUAGCGGCGGACGGGUGAGUAACACGUGGGUAACCUACCUAUAAGACUGGGAUAACUUCGGGAAACCGGAGCUAAUACCGGAUAACAUUUGGAACCGCAUGGUUCUAAAGUGAAAGAUGGUUUUGCUAUCACUUAUAGAUGGACCCGCGCCGUAUUAGCUAGUUGGUAAGGUAACGGCUUACCAAGGCGACGAUACGUAGCCGACCUGAGAGGGUGAUCGGCCACACUGGAACUGAGACACGGUCCAGACUCCUACGGGAGGCAGCAGUAGGGAAUCUUCCGCAAUGGGCGAAAGCCUGACGGAGCAACGCCGCGUGAGUGAUUAAGGGUUUCGGCUCGUAAAACUCUGUUAUUAGGGAAGAACAAAUGUGUAAGUAACUGUGCACGUCUUGACGGUACCUAAUCAGAAAGCCACGGCUAACUACGUG
rnacentral:rRNA from 1 species